rnacentral:misc_RNA from 1 species
ACACCCUCAAGCUUCGCUUGGUGUUGGGCGUUGUCCGCAAGGACUCGCCUCAAAUCCAUUGGCAGCGGCAUCGUCAGCUUCUCGCGCAGCACAUUGCGCUCUAGAAGGCUUCUGGCGGGCUCGCGUCCACUAAGAUACCACCCA